CCCACGCCGAAAGACCAAGGUUUCCUGCGCAACGUUAAUCGACGCAGGGUUAGUCGGUCCCUAAGGCGAGGCUGAAAAGCGUAGUCGAUGGAAAACAGGUUAAUAUUCCUGUACUUCUGGUUAUUGCGAUGGAGGGACGGAGAAGGCUAGGCCAGCUUGGCGUUGGUUGUCCAAGUUUAAGGUGGUAGGCUGGAAUCUUAGGUAAAUCCGGGAUUCUAAGGCCGAGAGCUGAUGACGAGUUGUCUUUUAGACAACGAAGUGGUUGAUGCCAUGCUUCCAAGAAAAGCUUCUAAGCUUCAGGUAACCAGGAACCGUACCCCAAACCGACACAGGUGGUUGGGUAGAGAAUACCAAGGCGCUUGAGAGAACUCGGGUGAAGGAACUAGGCAAAAUGGCACCGUAACUUCGGGAGAAGGUGCGCCGGUGAGGGUGAAGCAUUUACUGCGUAAGCCCACGCCGGUCGAAGAUACCAGGCCGCUGCGACUGUUUAUUAAAAACACAGCACUCUGCAAACACGAAAGUGGACGUAUAGGGUGUGACGCCUGCCCGGUGCCGGAAGGUUAAUUGAUGGGGUUAGCUAACGCGAAGCUCUUGAUCGAAGCCCCGGUAAACGGCGGCCGUAACUAUAACGGUCCUAAGGUAGCGAAAUUCCUUGUCGGGUAAGUUCCGACCUGCACGAAUGGCGUAACGAUGGCGGCGCUGUCUCCACCCGAGACUCAGUGAAAUUGAAAUCGCUGUGAAGAUGCAGUGUAUCCGCGGCUAGACGGAAAGACCCCGUGAACCUUUACUAUAGCUUUGCACUGGACUUUGAAUUUGCUUGUGUAGGAUAGGUGGGAGGCUUUGAAGCGUGGACGCCAGUCUGCGUGGAGCCAUCCUUGAAAUACCACCCUGGCAACUUUGAGGUUCUAACUCAGGUCCGUUAUCCGGAUCGAGGACAGUGUAUGGUGGGUAGUUUGACUGGGGCGGUCUCCUCCUAAAGAGUAACGGAGGAGUACGAAGGUGCGCUCAGACCGGUCGGAAAUCGGUCGUAGAGUAUAAAGGCAAAAGCGCGCUUGACUGCGAGACAGACACGUCGAGCAGGUACGAAAGUAGGUCUUAGUGAUCCGGUGGUUCUGUAUGGAAGGGCCAUCGCUCAACGGAUAAAAGGUACUCCGGGGAUAACAGGCUGAUACCGCCCAAGAGUUCAUAUCGACGGCGGUGUUUGGCACCUCGAUGUCGGCUCAUCACAUCCUGGGGCUGAAGCCGGUCCCAAGGGUAUGGCUGUUCGCCAUUUAAAGUGGUACGCGAGCUGGGUUUAGAACGUCGUGAGACAGUUCGGUCCCUAUCUGCCGUGGACGUUUGAGAUUUGAGAGGGGCUGCUCCUAGUACGAGAGGACCGGAGUGGACGAACCUCUGGUGUUCCGGUUGUCACGCCAGUGGCAUUGCCGGGUAGCUAUGUUCGGGAAAGAUAACCGCUGAAAGCAUCUAAGCGGGAAACUUGCCUCAAGAUGAGAUCUCACUGGAACCUUGA
rnacentral:rRNA from 1 species